UGCCUGGCAGGUGAUAUACAGCUGCUGGAGGAGUUCUCCCAGCAAUAGGAGACCUUCCCCAUGGCAGAGAGACAGCAGGGGGUUAUUCAGCAGCCGUGACUCAUCUGUACCUGCAUCUGGAAGGACUCUGUCCCCUCCCCGCCAUAGCAAGACAUUUUAUUCUUCCCUUCUUUGCAUGCCAGCCUUGUUUUAAUUAGCUGUAUUUUUAAUCUUUGUGAGCAGAGUGAAAUCCCAAGCAAGGAAGUGGUUUUAUCCUGCUGGAAAACUUAAUUAAUGCUCCAUCAGAGAGUUUGAUUUCCAAGCAUGAUGAAGGAAUCCUCCCUGGGGUGUUGGAGCUGCAGUCAUCGUCACCUCUUCCAGGUUGGAUCCCAGCUCCUGGAGAGCCAUUCCCAGUGUGCCUGCAGCACUGACCUCUGUGCUGGAGGCACGGACUGAGGGAAUUAUGUUUGCUUCAUUCCCAACAAGAGCCAAGAGCUGGAAAAAUGAAAAAAUCCAAGCUGCCAGGAGCUCUGUCACUGGGAGCUCCUGAACCCAGCCCAGGCACUGUGACCUGCCCAGGCUGCCUGGCUCUGGGUCCAGGGGCUCCCAGGGAGGCUGGAGAGUUGUGGGGAGCCCUUUCCUUGGGUUUCCCCUGGAAUUGCCUCAGGAUGAGCCCUGGGGAGGGCAGGCAGGGGGAGAUACCUGUGGGAUGUAUCUCCUGCCCAGCUCUGGGCUCAUCCACUGCAGCUGCAGCAGGAGCAGCAGAUCCCUGGAGAACAGAGUGGGAAGACAGCCUGUGCUGCAGGGAGGGAGCAGGAGCAGCUCCUUUGUCUCCACUACCUGCUCAAGCCCCGUCACAGCAGCCCCAGGGCUGAUCCAGGGAAGGUGGGAGAGGCACAAACAACACCACAGUGGCACAGCACAAAAGUUUAUUUUGAAUCCCAAAUAUUUAUGAUCAACACCUGGUAAAUGGCCAGUGAAAUACAUUUGAUGGUGUCAUUAAUCUGCUAUAAA